AUAAUGGCCCUCCAAGGGAAAUGGCAAGUACCAUGUGGCUGGCGACAAAAAUGGGUUUGACACCCCAGUUCUAAGGCAUCCGACAUCAGAUCAUUGUUUUGUUGUAAAAUCCAAACGCAGCUUUACCGAUGCCAUGACUGCCCUGCAGGCAGGCGGUGAAUGUACUACAUAUUGAUAUGUGGCCAGUGGUUUUCAGCGCAGGAAUCUGAUUAAUGAAGACAAGCAAAGGAAGUGGAGAUUCAUUGGCACGUAAAUGUGUUCGGAGAACCUCGCUCGAUCACACUCUCCAUUAACCUCCGUGCCAAAACAAGGAUAACGCCUGUGUGCCAAGUCAUGAUGUAUAGUCCACUUUUAUGUACAUUCCCACAUUUGUUUAUCUUUGUACUGUAUUGGAGAGUCACAUUCUGGCCAACCUGUAAACGAAUACUGCAUAUCGUGCUUUUUUUUCUAUUGAAAUCGUUUUGUAAACCGUCUUCCGAAAGUGAUCAAAGAUGAGGCAAGAAAGUGGCUUGGCCGAAUGGGAAGAUGCUGACUCAGGCAGACAAAGGGUGAAAUGAUGAGUCACGCUGCACGGUUGAACUAAAGACAAGUCAAGAAGGAUUUAUGCAGCAUUAUUGGUGUGUUAUUAAAGAUGAUUAGCACAUCAAAAGUGA